rnacentral:lncRNA from 1 species
GAAAAUCAAAAGAAAGACUAAAAGAGAACUCUAAGAUUUUUGUACGCCAAUGAACUGAAAAUUGGAAGGAAGAACUUGAAAAAUCAGAAAACCCUAGCACUCUUUUUUUCCCCAAUUUUCUCCCCCAUUUCUGUCCGAAAUUCCCCAAAUAUAUAGCCCCACUCGACUCAUCUUCUCCUCUUUUCUAAGUAACGCCCAAACUGUUUAGACCCCAAAAAAAAAUCCAAAAAUUCCUUUUAUAAAAAAAAUUCAAAAAAUAAAGGUCUUGGAUCAAGACUUCGAUCCAAUGACUCCUAUUUUACAAUUUUUUAUUCUAAGACCUUGGAUCUUCUUAAAAAAACAAAAAAGAAAGGAAAAAUGUGUGAAUCUAAUUGCUAUGAUGAGGCUUGUACGAUUUGAGUGACGUGGAUGAAGGAGAGAAGAGAGGAGGGGGACCAUGGGCACGUCAUUCCGGUGAGGUCGUGGUGGUUCGGGCGAUGCAGAGCUAAAGAGAAGGGGUGAGCCAUUUGAUUAGAGAGACUACGUUUAGGGU